UUUAACACCACGAGAGGAGUUUGUUGACCUGCUGAAGAAUCAGAUGGCUAAAUGGCUGAUGGAGGACCUCUUCAUACGGAUUUCCAGAAGCACAUUAGGGCAAUCAGCACCAUGAUGGAGCAACUGGAGGCAGAGACCGGGGCCACAGUAAGCUGUUUGGAUCUGAUCCUCAAGUGGUUCACAUUGCGCUUCUUUGAUACGAACACCAGAAGGCUGAUGAAAGCUCUGGAGUAUCUCAAGCUUCUCUUUGUCAGUCUUAGUAACCAGGACUACUAUCUCACUGAGCAUGAGGCUGCGCUGUUCAUCCCUUACUUCACCCUAAAGAUGGGCGAACAAAAAGACGUGGUGCGGAAAGAAGUGCGUCUUCGGCUUGUUGCAUAAAGUUUACCCAGCGAGCAGAGUCUUCCCUUUUCUCAUGGACGGCACAAAGUCUAAAAACUCCAAGCAGAGAGCUGAGUGUCUGGAGGAGCUCUGCUCUCUCGUUGGACGGCGAAAUCCUUGCGCGAAAUCGGCGAUCGAGACACUGCUGUCCGUAACGCUGCGCUAAACACAGUUGUGGCGGCUUAUAAAGUCUGUGGAGAGCAAGUGUACAAACUCAUCGGCCAGGUGGGGUACCUGAAUACAGAAUAAAUGAUGCCUAGCGCAUUUCUUUUCAACUUCAGGUGGAGGAAAAAACUUCAGGGCUGGCUAACGCUAGUCUUCUAUGCAAGCCGAACGCUGACUCUGCUGCUGCUGCUGCUGCAGCUGCUGCAGCAGCAACUUUUAAGCUGAGAUUAUGAAUCAUCUGAGCCUGAUUGAGAACGGUAGUGAGUCCAAAGUUGAAGCUCGCUUGAAGAGAGCGAUGAAGCAUUCCGUUUCAACAACCCAAACGUCCCAGAGCACGGAACAGGUCGCUAAGGUCCAGGCUUCUGCAGGUUCUUCUAUUGCUUCUGCAGAAAGGCAUCCCACCUGCGGAAGCCUCAUCUUCCAGUACUGAGGCUUUUGACGUCGCUUGAUAUCAGGAGACUCCGAGCUCUGAAGCUGAUCUACGGCCUUCAAAGCAACUCAAAGGUUCCCUGCUGAAUUUCUAGCCUGCAGCUAUGUAAUGCUCUGUAGUGCUAAUGAGGAAGAGUAAAAUCCAGUGACUCAGGUUUUGUGCUAAUUGAUGUGGAUGUGGGGUCAGCUUUUCCUUUAUCUGUUCAGUAUCUCCCUUAAUGACUCGUAUGUUCCCAAAUUGCCUUUGAAUACGAGCUGAUAUCAAAGUUUCAAGACUAGUGGUGCUAUUCUGACCACGUCUGCUAUUUCAUCAUGAAAUUCUGCAUGCAACUGGGCACAGGAAGACCAACUCCCUGAAACAAUUCCACGACUUGUGCAUGAAAAUUGAAAAUAUAAAAAAAUCCACAUGAUCUCACCUACCGACCCACCCUACCCGCCAGAUUUAUUUCUGCUUCGGACUUCACCGCCUUCUCAAAGAUAAAGCUCCUGUUCAAAGGUCGCUGUUUUGAUACCACUGUGGAGAUACAGCAUGAAUAGCAGAAGGUGCCUGAAACAUUUUGGAGAGAAGAUUUCCAGGACACAUUGCAGAAGUGGCAGGAACCUUGGGAGCACAGAAUUACUGUGCAAGUGAACUAUUUGGAAGGUGAUUGUGUGUAAACACAAGGUACUUUCUUGUAAACUGAACUUUUUGAUACUACCUCGUAUAUGUAGUUGGCAAUUUAUGACCUCAUGCCCAAUAAUGUGUGAAUAAACAAUCCCCAUGAUGAACAAAAACACCAAAAAUAGGCAUUACAGCUUGACUAAUAGGGAUCUGGACAGUGUCAAAAUAUUAACUUUUACACAUUUGUGCCUAAUAACUUAGUGUGUGUAAUGUGAAAUCUGUGCAACAUUCAUGUAAUCAUCCAUCCAUAUAAUUCAAAUAGCUAUACAGAGUAUAUCUGCAACAUGUACAUAAACUUAGACUUUUUGUGUGUUGGUGUCGUUGUCUUCUUUCGGCUGCUUCUUUUAGGGU